rnacentral:rRNA from 1 species
CUACGAGGAGCUCCAGUGAGGAAUAUUGCACAAUGGGGGGAACCCUGAUGCAGCAACGCCGCAUGGAGGAUGACGCAUUUCGGUGUGUAAACUCCUUUUAUAUGUCAAGAAAAUGACGGUAGCAUAUGAAUAAGCACCGGCUAACUCCGUGCCAGCAGCCGCGGUAAUACGGAGGGUGCAAGCGUUACUCGGAAUCACUGGGCGUAAAGGACGCGUAGGCGGGUUGGAAAGUCAGGUGUGAAAUCCUACAGCCUAACUGUAGAACUGCACUUGAAACUUCUAAUCUAGAGUAUGGGAGGGGGAGAUGGAAUUAGUGGUGUAGGGGUAAAAUCCGUAGAUAUCACUAGGAAUACCUAAAGCGAAGGCGAUCUCCUGGAACAUUACUGACGCUAAGGCGUGAAAGCGUGGGGAGCAAACAGGAUUAGAUACCCUAGUAGUC